AUACAGCACUGGCAUGCUCAAGUGCUGCUGCUAUGAAAGAACUUGGCAGGUUUCCAGAUUGCUUGCUAUUUUUGCUCUUGUCUGGGAUUAAAUUUGUGCAUCCACUGCAAUUACCAUGGUGGAAGACCUCAUGCCAUCCCAGGCAGAGAUACAAUGCUAACAGUAGGCAGAUGUACAAAUGAAACAAAAUCUAACCAUUCCUUUUCUGUGUAGGGAAGAAAAAGUUGACCAGCACAAUAUCCUCAAAGGCUUGUAUUUUCCAGCACAUACAAUGCUAUUGGAUGAUUACACAUUAGCUGCAGUCAGCUGCACUAAACUGAAACAUGGAAAUCAACAACUACAAGGAUGUGUUGCGUACUUUUGGCUUUUCUUCUGGCUGGACUACAUGCUGCAAAGAGAAUGAAAGAAACAUGAUCAGCGUGCAAUAGUGGCUGACACCAGAGACGACAGCUUCAGACACGGAUGUAUAUUAUACAUUAUUUAGGAUUUUGUUGAUUAGCAAUAGAAACUGGCAAAUCUCAGGGUGCCAAAGCCUCAGGAAUAAAAGUGGUUAGUAAUGUAAGCAAGUUGGGUCUGUUUUGUACAGCUGGUGAAUUAUCAAAUUGGAUAUCUGCUCUUUGCAAAGCUACUGUAUAGGAUUGGCUAUAGGUGUGAGAUUUAAGGUGCAAUUGACCUGGGAUAAGUGACUUGUACUUUGAAACUGGGAGUAACCUGAAUAUUGCUGUGAUUCCUGGUGUAAGAGACCAUAUUCUACAAAGAUCUGCGGAAUGUGAGAAAUGUUGCUGACUCAGCACCUGGCCAGAUGCUCACAGCCCUGGCAGCCCCAUUAAAGUAAAUAUGUUGUGAUGACUAAGCGCAGGUCUCCACUACCACUUAAGUCGAUUUAACUUACAUUGUUUAGGGGUGUGAAAAAGCCCCCUCCCCCAAGUAACGCAAGUUUUGCGCUGUCUACACCAGCACUAAGUCAGUGGGAGAUGUUCUCCCGUCGACAUAGCUUACGCUUCUCACCGAGGUGGAGUAAUUAUUCUGACGGGAGAGUGCUCUCCCAUCGUCAUAGCAUGUCUUCACCAGACGCGCUACAGCUAGGCAGCUGCACCAAUGAAGCGCUAUAGCGUAGACUUGCCCUAAGUGCAUGUGGUAACUGACCUUAGAUUUUGCCCUGUGUUUUCCAGAGCUA